rnacentral:rRNA from 1 species
CCAAUAGCGUAUAUUAAAGUUGUUGCAGUUAAAAAGCUCGUAGUUGAAUUUCGGGAUUAGUAAGUUGGUCGUGCCUCUGGUAUGUACUGGCUUUACUGAUUCCUCCUUCUUGAAGAACUGUAAUGUCAUUAAUUUGGUGUUGCAGGGAAACAGGACUGUUACUUUGAAAAAAUUAGAGUGUUUAAAGCAGGCUAACGCUUGAAUACAUUAGCAUGGAAUAAUGAAAUAGGACGUUUGAUCCUAUUUUGUUGGUUUCUAGGAUUGACGUAAUGAUUAAUAGGGAUAGUUGGGGGCAUUAGUAUUCAAUUAUCAGAGGUGAAAUUCUUGGAUUUAUUGAAGACUAACUACUGCGAAAGCAUUUGCCAAGGAUGUUUUCAUUAAUCAAGAACGAAAGUUAGGGGAUCGAAGACGAUCAGAUACCGUCGUAGUCUUAACCAUAAACUAUGCCGACUAGGGAUCGGAUGAUGUUAAUUUUUUAAUGACUCAUUCGGCGCCUUACG